GCUCGGCUGGCCCAGUGGUAAGGCAUCUGACUUCUAAGGCGUUCUGUUCGUGUAAAGCGACGUCCCGCGGAUCAGGAGAUCGAGGGUUCGACCCCCUCGUCGAGCU
rfam:Kockovaella imperatae strain NRRL Y-17943 BD324scaffold_4, whole genome shotgun sequence.